UUAUCGUGCGCUAGAGCCCAUUUGGAGGUCAAAUCUGACUUAAAUUGCUUCUACCACUCUUCUGCGGUCUGAAGUAUUGUUUUCUUUGUCCUUAAAUCGGAUGAUUUAGGAAUAUCAAAUUCAGCCUGCAAUCAAUAAAUACAUUUUGUAGUUAGUCAAUUACAAAUUAGGAUUUUUUACUACAACAUAUUACAACAACAUUCAACAUUUAAUUGAAAUACCUGAAUAUCCUCCCAAAUCAUAUCCUUUUGAGUGA
rnacentral:misc_RNA from 1 species